rnacentral:snRNA from 1 species
GUGCUUUUCUCAAGAACUGACAGACAGUUCGUAGCACAUAUACCAAAAUGGAAACCAUGCAGUAAGGAUUAGUUUGGACUAUGAGCAAGGAUGAUGUGCAGAUUCAUGAAUUGUUCCAGAUUUUU